GACGGUACCUGAGGAAUCAGCCUCGGCUAACUCCCUUGCCAGCAGCCGCGGUAAUACGGAGGAGGCAAGCGUUAUCCGCAAUUAUUGGGCGUAAAGCGUCCGCAGGUGGCGAUUCAAGUCUGCUGUCAAAGCACGGGGCUUAACUCCGUAAAGGCAGUGGAAACUGAAUAGCUAGAGUGCCGUAGGGGUAGAGGGAAUUCCCGGUGUAGCGGUGAAAUGCGUAGAGAUGCGGGAAGAACAUCGGUGGCGAAAGCGCUCUACUGGACGGCAACUG
rnacentral:rRNA from 1 species